rnacentral:rRNA from 1 species
CAAUAGCGUAUAUUAAAGUUGUUGCAGUUAGAACGCUCGUAGUCGGAUUUCGGGGCGGGCCGACCGGUCUGCCGAUGGGUACGCACUGGUCGGCGCGUCCUUCCUUCCGGAGACCGUGCCUACUCUUAACUGAGCGGGGGCGGGAGACGGAUCGUUUACUUUGAAAAAAUCAGAGUGUUUCAAGCAGGCAGCUCGCUCUUGCAUGGAUUAGCAUGGGAUAAUGAAAUAGGACUUUGGUGCUAUUUUGUUGGUUUCGAACACCGAAGUAAUGAUUAACAGGGACAGUCAGGGGCACGCGUAUUCCGCCGAGAGAGGUGAAAUUCUCAGACCAGCGGAAGACGAACUACUGCGAAAGCAUUUGCCAGGGAUGUUUUCACUGA